CUGCUUUCCCACACUGCCCUGACACAGUGGGCCCCCUGAGAAGAAGAUGGGCAUCAAGGCUUCAAACACAGCAGAGGUGUUCUUUGAUGGAGUACGGGUGCCAUCGGAGAACGUGCUGGGUGAGGUUGGGAGUGGCUUCAAGGUUGCCAUGCACAUCCUCAACAAUGGAAGGUUUGGCAUGGCUGCGGCCCUGGCAGGUACCAUGAGAGGCAUCAUUGCUAAGGCGGUGAGUACCCUGCCCGAGUCCCUGGGUAACCCAAACAGAAGUCUCACUGUCCCCCUUGCCAUGUGUCCCUGAUCACUUGCAGGCACUCCCUACACUAGAAACUCCUCCCCUACCAGCAGCCCGACUUGCUAGCUUAGGUCUCCAUCCAGCGUAGACUGAACUCUGGUUGUAUGCAAAACCCAUCCCUCUGGCGCAAGCCCAGCCCCUCUCCUAGGGAGACUGCAGAACCACACUGAACCACAGUGGGAUGCAUGGACCCUCUUCCAGGUAGAUCAUGCCACUAAUCGUACCCAGUUUGGGGAGAAAAUUCACAACUUUGGGCUGAUCCAGGAGAAGCUGGCACGGAUGGUUAUGCUGCAGUAUGUAACUGAGUCCAUGGCUUACAUGGUGAGUGCUAACAUGGACCAGGGAGCCACGGACUUCCAGAUAGAGGCCGCCAUCAGCAAAAUCUUUGGCUCGGAGGCAGCCUGGAAGGUGACAGAUGAAUGCAUCCA
rnacentral:sRNA from 1 species